AAAAUUACUUGAUCACAAACAUGAGGUGGGUCAGAGGUGAUGCAUACUGAAAGGAAUGUGUUCCUGAUCACCCGAGUAAGUCUAGAGUUUAUUUCUCCUUGCAUGCUUUGCCUGUUGUAAUAACCCUUCAGGGAGAUGGAAAAUGGAAGUCAAAGAACAAAAGCAAGUGUAGAUGGUACCAUUAUUAUUGCCUGUUUUUCCUGACCAGCUAAAUAUGAUGAAAUGAACUUAUAUUGCUGAUGUUUCUGACCUGGCUCUGCAGAACCUUGCAGUAGCAGCCUGGUCAGCCACUCCUUGCUCUGAUAUGUGACCCUUCAAAGGUGAGAAGGAAGCUUCCUGGAAGGUAUUAGCUUUCUGAGCUCUUGUUUUUGCCUGUUAAAAAACCUUUCACUAAUUAUGGAGUGAGUCAUGCAAUCCUAUUAAAUUAGAUUAUGUGCGCCUGUAAAAGGUUUUGCCAAGUAAAACAGAUUCUCUCAAGGAUAUCUGAAUGUAUCAAUAUCAAAGCCUGCUUUGUUUGUGGUAGAGUGAAAAGUUUCAGUUUGUGUGCACUAUUUUAAGUGCACUCACAGGUUGUUACCCAAUCAACCACACCCUGGUGUGAUGAAUGUAAGUGCCAGUCCCAGCACCUGGGCCUCUUUUGCAAUCUGAUGCCAUUAUGGGCAAUGAGGCUCAGCAGUUCUGGGUGUUUUGCUUCUUCUUGGCCACAUGCAGGGAAGAAAAUCUGGGAGCACAGAAAGUGCUGUGGUUUGGGGGAAGGCGGUAGACAUGGAAAGAGAAGCACAUCAUUUUUCUCCAGAGCAACAGAGGUUUGCCACUGAGUUCUUUCAAGGCUGAAUGAAGGCUCUGUUGCUGCCUAGCACUGCCCUGCAAGCAAGACGAGGGAUGAAGAAAAUUUACCUGCAAUUAUCAGUUCUGUCACUGCAGACCCCACCUUAUGGACUUUAGAGAAACUAACAGAUGAAAGCUGCAAGAAGCCUCUCAUACUGCUCGUGCAUCAGCACAAAUAUCUGAGGUCUUCAUCCAGCUUGCCUAGUCCUCUUGUGCCAGUUUUAAACAAGUGUGACAGAGACUCUGGACACUGCAGACUGGUGCUCUCAUCAUGUAUUGCUCUCAAAGUUUUCAAGCAGAAAUGGGAUAGACUUGGCAUCUUCAGCUAGCAACAGUGCUAGAGCCCUACAGGAAAUAUUUCAGUGAAACCUGAGGUGAUGGGUGGAAAAGGCGACAGGGCUGAGGAGUGUUAUCCAGGAGGGGACCUUGAGAUGAGCUUUGCGUUUUCUGAGCUCCACAGUGAAAAAAAUCUGCAACACGACCAUGGAUGAAGCAAUAUAGAGGUUUGAUACUUCUCUGAACACCCGAAGCACAAGCGAAAAUGACCAAGUUACAUACUAGAAAACAAAUAUCAGUAUAUGCAAGACUUUGUGCGUUAUUCUGCAAGCACACUUUAAGUUGUUGGGAUGAAGAUCAAGAAAGGUUUCUUAUUGCUGAUCACAUGGAUCUGGUUUUCUACUUGCUGUGAAUGUUAGAGCUUGAAGACAGCGUCCUUCCUUGUUCUUCAGUUCAGAUGAUCCUUACUUUGGACAACUGGAGGAUGAAGACAUACUGAAAGAGUAAGUUUACUGUUUUAUAUGGGUGCAGAAAGACAGCCUGGCAUUCAGUGUUUUCAUACUGAGGCAGAAACAAAAGUAAAAAAGAAAUGUCAUAGUAGGAUGUAUACACAGGACUUACAUGGAUAAAAUGUUUGUAAUCUACCUCUGCGCUGAUCAGAUGAAGAGAUGUAGUCCAUCACAAGAGCCAUAGCUCAGGAUGCCAUUCCUCCUUUGGAGUCUCAGAAGGCAGUAAGAGUAAUCAGGUGUUUAGAGACCAUGGUUUGGGAAAGCAUUGUACAGCUUACAGAAAGGAAAAGACAGGGCUGUGAAAUGUUUAAAGGACAACUGCAAAGGAGGAAGUAAUCUUUGUUUUCCAUGUCCAUUGGAAUUUGAAAUGGCUCAUUUAUCUUGUACAGUAAGACAAAAUUAUGUUGAGUGACAAGAGGAUACACAUAUACAAAACUAAAAGCAUUUCCCUGAAUGCUGAUCGUACCACGUAGCAGAAUAAAUGCAUAAACCAAAAUGUGGAUCAGUUUCUGCUUUGAAAAAUGUUUGACUCAAACAGUGUUGCUCAGGUAGGUUUAGCUUGACUAGGUGCUACUGGCAGGCCACUGGUGAGAAAGCAUGAUGGUAGACAAGGACCCAUAGCUGAGAGUGAUGGUGUGAUGGAAAGGUUUGGAAUGGUUUGGACCUCAUAAUUGCUCCCAGUUCUUGUAGAACUCUACAGAUAUAUAGAUGUAGAUUUUUCUUACAGCCAUUGAUCUGGCAAUGAAGGGAGUUUGAUUAGAUUUUCUGCAGUCCAUAAGCCUGGUCAUUAAAAUGGAAACGGUUAAAAUUUGUUUCCUCCAUUGUCAGUUAUUUUCAAUAGAACUUCAUCCAAGUAUACACCAGUAAAAUUGCAUGAGAGUAAGGCACACAGAUACUAUAGGCCUGUGUCAAGAUCAAUCAACCUCAUGAUUUCUCCUACCUAAGUCUUAAGGAAUGUUCCUUGAAGAUCUUUAUUUUCUAUAGAGUGUAUUACUAAAAGAAGUCAAUGGGGUUCAGGGAGAAGCACUAAAAGAGGCUUUUAAUAUACUUCAUUUUCUGCUUUAUAUUGUAAUUCACAUAAGUAAUGAGUAUGUACCAACCAGAAUGGUGGGAAUGUUGCCUAGUGUUACUAACUAACACGUAUUCAGUUCCAUAAGCCCCCCACCACAUAGAAGCUAAUUGCAAGGAUUAGAGUACACCAACACACUUAAGCUCCACUCCUGUGGGUUUGGGGAGAAACAACACAUUUCAACAUUCCAGCUGCAGUUCCCCUGGCAACGUACAUAACAACUCACUAAAAACUGUGGGUUUCUGUUUUCUUAACCCUUAGAACAUUGACUGAAUGAAUACUUCCUUUAGGAAACAGUUCAGUCAGCCAGAGAUAGUCAAACACUCUUGAAUCCAUCAGUCCUUUUCUCCUUAAAAAAACCCACAAAAGUGGUUGAAUUCCUUGUCAAACUGAUCUCCUCCCCUAGCAUUAAAGAGUUUAACUCACACAAAUGUGCAUACCAUUUGCAAACCUCCCAUAGAAGUCUGCAUUAAAAAAGACUUUAAAAAAUCCCCAAAUAUCAAUAUUUAAGAUCACUAUAAAGUUCUUAGACAUCAAAGGACACGCAGAAAAAUACACAGUGAAUUUUACAAAGCACAUAAAUACUCUUAAGAGAUGAAACAAAACAAAAUUAACAUUUAUGUAUAGAGCACAAUAUUUUCCUAUCAGUUAUUAUAACAAUGAUAAUGCCUGCAGCAACUUUAUGAUUCCUCCGAGAGUUUCAAAUACUUCAUAAAUAUUAACUAAUACCUUGAAAUAAUAUAUACAUCAUUGUUGUGAAAUACAUGAGAUCUGCUCCAGAAUUUGUUCCACUGCCCAAUGAACUGGUAUCACUUCUGCUUCUUAGCAGUGACUGUUCUUAUCACAUAAAGGAACCACCAGCUAAAUGCAUGUGCAGGGUGUUAGAAGUUACCAGACCUCACCUGAACCUCACAAAAAGCUGCUGUAUAUUUUGGGUUGUCAAUAGCAGGAAGAAUGAAUGAACACACAUGGCCACAGUUGUCAGUGGCUACAAACACCACUGGUAUUUUGCAGUUUAUUUAAGAUAAUAGUCUGAUCUGUAGUAUUUUCCUCAGAAGUCUGCAUUUAUGAAAGCAUUUAGUUUUAGGCUGGAGUUGGGGGUAGGUGGUGGAGGUGGUAUAGCAGUUUUCUCAGGAGAGCCUACCUUCUUCAACGUGCAAGAAUUGACCUGAUGAGGCUCUUAGAGAGCAAGAGAAGACAUCUACCUAUAUCAAACAUAUGACUAUUCCCAGUGCAUUGGUGCACACUUACUUACACAAAGGAAAAGUUAAAGGCUGAAAAACUAUAUCAUGGAUCAAAAAGAUGUCAGUGCACUUUGAAGCAAUUACCUUUCAUAACCUGGAUUUUCUCCUUUUCUCUCCAUAAGCUUUAUUUUUUUUUCUUAAAAGGAGUCGAUGUGAUGUUCCCUUAGAUCUUCCAUCCCAUGAUGAAAACCACUGCCUCAUUUUGUAGCUUUGAACAGAUACGAGAAAGAGUUAAGGUUCAAUUCAGGUUCACAGGAAGCAAGUCAACUGACCUUUUCAUUUGUGAGCUAUAAUAUAAUGUGCAUCAGUUGAAAAACUUGUGGCAUGAUUCUAUGAGAUGUCAAGCACCUGCAGAUGCAGCAGAAGCCAAUGCCCUGGAUGGCGUGUCUGAGUCCUGAAUUAUGUGCCAUUAACAGUAAGUAACAGUCUUACUUUGAAAAGCCAUACACCCAUUUCAGUUGGCAUGAGAACAGUUUCUGUACUCCUACAGGCUGAACCUACCACCAGCAACUACUAAAUGAAAAAUGUGUUUGUCUCUCAGCAUCAUGUAUUCAUUUGUCUGAAUAUAUAGGAAAGCUUAAGUCUGUAAUGUUGGCAAACACAAACUUAAUUCCUAUGUGUAACAUGAAAUAACCCUGAUACUUCUGAUUCACUGAAAUGGAGAACUUAAUUUCCCCUUUCCUUUCUUAAAUUUCCUUAUUUUUAAGUAGAUGUAGGAGGAAUGAAAUCGUACUUAAAAUGAUGACAGGUAUUUUGCCUUUUACAGGUCAUUGAAGCCUUGAGGUUCAAACCAUAAACACUGAGACUCAUCAGUAAACUCCAAAAUGCCUAGCCAGGGUAAUUGAGCUUCAGUCAAGCCUAAUCCUGAAGAUCAGCAAAUCUGAAAAUGUGGGAGCAGAACAACAAUUAACAAAAGAGAAUGCCUAACUUCUUGCUGAGAAGACUCCUCACAGGAAAGAUCCACCAUCCCUGCUGUGUUACUGGCUGGUUGAUGCAGUGCUUUAGUUCACUGCAGCUGAACAUCUCUGCCUUUGACAGCCUGAGUUCAGCAGUUAUUUUGUACAGGAGGUAUUGGAAAAUCUUUUCAAAACAGUGUAAAAUAAGUAGGAGUACGCCAUAGGUACACAGCUUGAUUCUGGAAGGCAACUUACAAGCCCUGCAGCUGAAGUUUCCAAAACACGCUUUCAAAAUAAGUUGUUCUCACUAUAUGCCUCUUGAAAGAGUAAACAACCAAAGCAGCUUUGAGCUUUGCUUUGUGCUUCAUUUGCAAUAAGGUUAUCUGACCCAGCCUCACACCUCCCAGCCUCUAACUCUGUAACAGGUCUCUACAGCAUAGUGUUACAUGGUAUAACUUUGCCCUGCCAGUCACGCUUAACGUGGUCACAGCUUGAUUUCUUGUGGCGUGCUGGGAUUCCUGGCCAAAUUUCAUUGCUAACAGGGGAAGAAGUCAGCCUGAAAAACUGUAUUUCCAAUGCAAGAAAAGGAAGACAGAAUUCCUUUUCAUCUUUGUGUAUAUACAUAUAUACAUACAUAUGCAUGUGUGUAUAUAUGUGUGUGUGUAUUAUUCUUGCAAGGUGAAGGCUCCUUUAUGUCAUAUUUAAGACUUAAAGUGCUCUGAGAGUACAGCAACUAUUCCCCUUGUCAGAUUGCUGCAACUCCAGCAGUCAGUUCAGUAUGGGAGAGCCAAGUAAACCAUUUGAGACGUGUGAUCUUACAGCUGCACAGCAUCCCAUUCAUCAUAUGCUUCAGAAACAUAAUGUGUAACAUUGGGAAAAACAGAAGCUGCAAAAAAAAUAAAAAUAAAAAAAUCAAAGCAUGAAAGCCCAUAUAUGAAAAAAACCUGAGUAUAUCCACCACAUGUUGGCACUUACUUUAAUUUCCUAAAGGUGUUCCCCUGCCUCCUCUAGGGUGAUUGCAAAGCUGGAACAUUCUUUAUAUUAGGAUGAGAGGACAGGGGUGCUGUAGUCUCCUAAGGAGGCAGUGAUAAUUUUGCAGGAGGCUGAGGGAUUCAAAGUAGACAAGGUAGCACUAAACACAAAGUGUGCUUUAUACCCUUAUCCCCACACCCUUGCCCCACCAAAAAUCUCAGAUAUGACAAGCCUCAAUCUUAGGAAAGAGCUUGUAUAGUUUGCAAAUAGUUUCCAUCCUGGAAGAAGACGCACUCAACAGAAUUUAAACAAUGCACAUUGCAAUCUCAGUUACAGUCGCAUAAAUUAGGAUCAAUUCCACUGAGGUCAGCACAGUUAUGUCAGUAUGAGACCCGAGGUCUGAAGCCAAUUCAAACCAAAGGAGUUAAUUCUCCUCUACUUCACCAUAACUCAGAGCAGAUUACAGCCCCCAGCUUUCAGUCAAACUCAGUCCAUGUGAUGCGCCAAAUCUGUCUUUGAAUUUCAAGAAAAUAGAUGUUGAGAAACUGAUUUUAUGGGAACUAUUCCGAAUUACAGUAAUGCAACUUCUGGCCCAGAGACUACUUAGCGUCCAGACAUUGAGCAGUAGCCAGCAGUUGAGAUCUCAUCGUGCUUUGGCCAAAGUGGAGUGGAACAUUUAGAGUGCAGCCUGCAAAAGCAUUUCUUUGGGAUUUGGGGGUACUGCAGGUCAGGCCUAUCUUUUAUCACAAUUAUUUCUCACAUGGAUGAGAGCAGUAAUUCCAGAAAUAAAGUGGACGUGUGGAAUGCACUCAUCUACCUAGUUCUUAUCCCACCCCCAUGAAUAUUUUUUGACUUGUUAACUACUGGAACUCGAUCCUCAUAUAAUACUGAAAAAGUGUAACAGUGAUACCAACGACCUUAGUAAAGUGCAAGCUGUGAAUAGCCCCGGUGAAGUUGAGCAGCCCGAAAAAAGAAAACUGUUGGUAUGCCAGCUGCUUACUUACAAUGCAGGUAAAUAGCUUUUAGAAAUAUUUAAACAAGUUGGACUAUACCCAACUUCAAUCUUCAUUAAUGAGAAAAGACAGAAGAAAGGCAGUAAAUCAGAAGUGCAAUAACUUCAUAUACUAACAUUUAUCACAGAUUCUUCCUUGAAAGCUUCCUCAAGCGUCUCUACAGAAUGAGUACUCCUCAAGUUUCCUCCUAGACUGAAUACACAUGAAUUUCCACAUCGAACCUCCUAGACCAUAUCUUUCCAGACAGGAGGAAGAAGUACAUGGAGAUCCUGCCUUAUGUCUGAGAAACUUCAGUACUGCCCAGGUGUAUCUAGCAUCACUUAGCACACUUAUUGUCCUCCUUCUGCCCCUUCCCUCCAGGAGUCAUAUUCUGGUUACUCAAUGUAAGCAGCACCAAGGAAGUUUGCAGGGCUGCUCCUCAAUCUUUAUCAAUCUCCACUUCUCAAACUAUAAUUUCACCAUAAUUUACAGCUAUUCUUAUGAGGUAAUCUCAGCAUUUUUGAAUAUUCAAAAACAGUAACCACAAAACUAAAAAAACUAAGUUUUUCAUUCUUUUUGUCUGUUCAUUCUAGCUUACAGCAACAGAAACACUAGAGCAAGGCAUACAGUUUACAUUAACACUCAGGGAGGAAGAAGACUGACCUACUUGAAGGAGAGGAGAAAACAGCACCAGCUGAAGGAUCUGGGGACUGACCUCCACCUCUUCUGCCAGAUGGGUGAAAGCUGUGUCCUUGGCUGCAGUGGCUCCACACUGCUGGGUGCUCACCCUUACAGCAGUAAUUAGGAGGGAGAAAUGUAGCUGUAUACAAUCAAUUCCCUAUUAAGCAUCCUCUCCUGUUAUUUAAUGUCGAACUGAUGCAGAGUUUAAUGACUCACUGCUUUCUGACAAAUAAUAAAUAUACCACACAGAGGCAUUUCAGAGGCACUGGGACUCCUUCUGAAUUUGAAUGGAAUUUAACAAAUAGAUCCAGAUGAAACAAUGCAGAGAAAGAAAAAUGAAAUGUCAAAACACUUCAUUUUAGUGUUUUCAAAAUGGAGCGUUUCAUUCUAGAACUGCCAAAACACUUCAGUUUCAAAACAAAGACUUUUAGCUGUCCAGUUUAAAUUUGGCCUAACUUUAAAAAGGAAAAAAAAGCUUUAAAAUGUGUGAAGUGGCCCAAGACCAAAAAUGAAGCUGUUCUUUGAAGCUGAACUAAAUAUUUUGGGUUGAACAAAAAAGAUACUUUUCCUGAUGAUAAUUAUUUCUUGUUUUGCCAAUAGUUUUGUUUUUUAAAUCUAGAUUUGACCAAACCCAAAAUACAAUUCUCAAAAAACUAUAUAUAUAAUAAUUAGAGCAACUGACCAAAAUUUCAUUCUUUACAGAGCUCCAUCUCUAGGUAACCCAGUACACUUCUUGGAGUUUCAACAGAGCAGCCAGGCCCAUUGCUUUCCAAAUACUAUGAGAGCUUAUUAAUUUGUCUUUAAUUGGAGAAGCUCAAGGAAAUUCUUCUUAUAAUGGUAAAAUAAAAGAGGUUCCAUAUGAUAACUCCCACCCAGAAAUACUUAUCUAACUGUGUACAUGGUAGGGUUAGAUGCUUCAGGGCAUCUCUGCUUCCUGUGGUGCUGCACUGGAAUGAGAAUCUUACUUCACCUGAUCCUGGAGUCCCAGCUGCCCAAGCGUCCACGCUGCACCAGCCUGCCUGUGCUUGGGCCUUAAGUCUUGAAUGUGAAGAAGAGGGAGAAGUCAGCUCACAUCCAGAUUCUGCUUCACAGCAGCAUUGCUGCCACAUGCUUCAGCCAUUUGGCCACAUGAACUCUUAUUCCUACUCAAACGCAGUCCUGUGAAGCAACAGAGAUGUGGCACUUGUGAGUCUGGUAACAAAGAGCAUGGAAAUGAAGCACCAAACUGCCAUCCUCCCAAGAGGUGCAGCAGCAGCACUCCACAUCGGUACUUUCAGCCAGAAAUAUUUGGCUUGCAGGUGUUUGGCUUUCUGAUGAAUAGUCCUGAUUUUCUACAGAAAGCAGAUACUUUUUUUCUGGAAAAAAAUAUAUUCUCACAAAAUCCAGUUUUCCCUUUAAAGAACAGAUGGCAAUGGAAAAUUUUUAACCUAUAAGAUAUAGCAAUAUGUGUGAUUUUUCCUCUCCCCAAAAGUUCUUUUCUGCAUAUCUAUUGACUUGCCUUGCUACAGAAAAUUGCACUAAAUCUUGCUGGCUCUAAGCCUAAAACUUGCCCACUUCCCCAAGCUCUAUCAACAGGGUUAUUAAAGAAAGAUGUUUCCUCACUGUUUCUCAUUUUCCAAGCUCAUUACAGGACGGACAACAUACCUCUGUACUGCAUGUCACUGGGUACGAUGGCCGUGGUCCCAUGCCAGCCAGCUGAAAAAAAGGCUGCUCAUAAGAACCUGCAGAAACAAAAGACACCACAUAGGUCACCAGGAAAGAGCAGUAAAGUCUUGUACCUACCUGGGAGGCAUAAAAUUAUCAGCAAAAGUUUAGUUACCAACAGAGGUGUGCAGGUUUCCUAGAAGGCUUUUUCUUACCUGCUUCUGAAAGAAAAAGCAGAGACAACUGCAAAACCAAUUCAUCUACAUUCUGAAUUUGUUCUGAUUCGAUCAGCAAAUAAAGAAAAUCCAGGGUCAGAGAUCAUCCCCUCCCCACUUCUAUUACAACAAGUUACCAUCCUUAAUUUUACCCAACUGUGUCAUGUUGUGACCAAAUAUUGGAGGCUUGAUACUUAACUUUGAAGUUUUUCCUCUUUUGUGGAAGUGAGCCAGAACCACAGAAUUUUUGAAAACACAGUGUUUGACUGAAUUGAAUGCAGUUUCCUCUGUGAAACUAAAACCAAACAGAACACUUCUACCCUUCCAGAGGGAUGUUUUUUAAAUUGUCUUUGACCCUCUUUGCUUUGUAUUUGUAUUGGCUUCGGCUGUUUGAUUACAACUGUAGGACACCCAAUUCUAAAGAAUAUUUUUGAAAGACAAAUAAGGAAACUUUGAUGAUUUUUCUUCAGAUAUCUCCUGUAAUUUUGUAUAAAUGCUUUCCAGUUUUGGCUUGACAUUCUUGCACACUUCCAGAAUACCUGAAAGCUAAUUCAAGAAAUACUUUACUUUGGCCCUGCUUUAUAGUAUUUUGAAGUGUCAGUAUUAAUUGAAUUUAAGUAUUCUCUUUAGGAAUAUUUUAUAUAAAAUAGAGAUUUUUGGAGUUCAAAAUCAAACAUACAUAAGCACACGUAUAAGUGUGUAUACAUUUAUAUCUGUAACCUUCAGCAAUUAUAUAUGUGUUCAACCAGCCAAAUACAAUAAACAAGUCAUUCAUUAUUUUAAAAUCCUAUUGACCUUAGCGAUAACUUUUCCUGAAAAAAGAAUGCAGACUCCAGCAACAGCAGAACUUAGUGAAGCUUAGCAAAAUAUUUUAACAGAGCAAUGACUAAUUCCAAAGAACUUCUCAGAGGGAGGUUUCAGUGGCUUAUGUGGAGGAAGGGAGAUUUCAUAUCAAUAAAUAUGGUGGCAUCUGCCAGAUAAAAUGUUUUAAUAAUCCUCUGGGUGUGACUUCCCUCCCACUAAUGUGUUGGACAGUUUAAAUUAACACCAUAUGCGUGUUAAAAGAAAGAGUUGGAAACCAGUGUACAUAGUGAGAGUUCAUUUUACAGCAUUGUUUUCCCGGCAUUCCCAGUAUUCCUAUGCUAAAGACCAUUGAAGGCAUGGACAAGAUGAUGAAGGAGGAGGAAAAGCCACAGGGAAGCAUGGAGCCAUCAGAAAGAGGAAGAGGAGGAGGAGGAAAAGAAAGGCAAAGAGAGAGCUAGGUAAUGACAUCACCUCCAGGAGGAAGAGCUGGUGUGAAAGAGGAACUGGGCAAGAAGAAGCUGCCAUGCCAAAAUUACAGAGUGAGGUAGCAAGGCAACAACAUUAUAAAUUUACACAUGCAAGUCAUACCUCGGCUGCAAGGUUUUCAAAGUCAACUUAUUUUGAUUGCCACGUUCCUGAUGUCAGAUGGGCUGUUUCUGUAGUGAAGGUAAGGAAAACACCUCAAACUGUGUGCUCCUCUGUUUUUUUUCUCAGAACAGAGGCUUGCCUGACAACAGAAGUAGCAUCCAUAAAGACAGUUCACACACAGUCGAUAUUUCAAGGAAGAAGAAGUGACCAUUACUACAAUACAUAAACUAAUUUGGAAUAGAUAAGAAGAAAUAAUUUUUUAUUCUAAAUUUUAAUCAGUUUUUUGUGUGUUACUCUCAUUUACAAGGUAAAAUCUGCUCUUGCUCUGAAAGUCUUCAAUGACUGGAUAAAAAAUAAAGGGAAGCAUUAAAUGCUGGUCAGGCAGAGGACUCUGAGCUUGUGAUUGCAUUGACAAAGAAAAUAAGUAAAAUCAGAAUAUGUACCUCUUUGUUUAGAAGGUUCAGAGGUAAAGUUUCUAAGAAAUAUUUAAAUCCCUUCAGUCUUAACCAAGGACUUCAGUCCCAGUGACUGUCAGGCACAAAACACAGUUUGUCCCCCAAAUAACGUUACUUUUUUUUUUUUUUAAAGUGCACAGACAUUUACCCACAGAAUGCAAAAAAGAACUCUACUUCAAUAGCAGAAGAAUUAGAGAAUAUCACAGAUCGUAUUCAAAAGAGUGGUUCCAUUUACGUCAAUGGAAUAAUUAGCUGCGAUAAGAGUUUAGAGGAUCAAGCCUGUGUAGCAGCCAUCUGUGCUCCUUAGGUUUUAUCCUCAGAUAACAUUAUUCUCUAGCAACCAAAGGAAAAUGCCACGCUGACAGGUAAUCCAACCUAUUUCCAAACAGCAUGUCAAGUCACUGACUGCUUGGGUGCGACAUUUGACUGCAAUUGCUCUCACACUUUGAUUUAUUCCGCUACUCUCAUCCGUGCCCUGCUUCCCCUGUGCAAAUUCCUGCAGCCCCAUUAGCAUGGAGACAGUCACACCGCUCAUCUACUUGGCACAGCUGAGCUCUCAGCUAUUCAGCCAACAGCCUGAGACUAACCCCAACCAAGGUGGCAGUUCUACAUGCUCCCUUCUACAUUCGAAAAUGUGACAAGUCAGCCCCUAGCCGCUGUUGCAGCUGCCACAGCAGACACUAAAAACCUGCUAAUUGUUACCGUGAAAAUGUCUUUAUUAACAAAAUAUAUUGAAUCUUCAUUGAAUAUUUAAAAGUUAUGCAAAAUAACCUUCGCUACAGUAUAGUAUUACUAUUAUUAAUACACUUUAAAAAUGAAUAAAAGUCACUGAUUUUUCCUAACAGAUGUUCAAAGAGAAACUAAGACCAGACUAUAGGGUCUGGCAUGGCCCAGGAGCCACAUGAGUCACAGUGUCUUUCUUAGGCAACAUUUUGAAUAUACAAUAGCAGUAAAUCAGUUUCACUCUGAGAGUUAAAGGUGUAAAGCUAUAACUUGUUUCUCAUCAAUAUACUGCAAAAUCCAAACAUAGUUGUACAUUUGUGUCUGGCAGAACGUAUCAAGCUUGUUUAAAUAUUAUUUUUGACUUGUUUAACUUGCAAAUCAGAGAGGUCUUUUACUAAUACCAAAGAGGAAACCCUUCCUUUUGCAAUGAGCUGCACAGAGGGAAUGUGAGAAAGCCAAUCAGCAACCUCUACCAAAACAUACUUGAGGUCAGCAUCAUAGUACACAGCUUGUUACCUGUCCUUUCUAAAGACAGCUUUCCCCAAGAAUUUGUGCAAAGAUUUAGAUUUCUAGACAAUGGUAUCAAAAGAAAGGUCUAAGAAGUGAGAUAAAAUGAAUGGAAAGGGGCUUUAGGCUUUAGUCCUUAAGUAUUUGUUUUCCCAUGGCCCUAUCUUAUGGAGUCUCAUGUCAGAUGAGGUGGGAUAGGACUUCAGAAUAAUCAGUUGAUUCUUUUCAGUCAGAGCAAGAGCUUCCUUCCCAGCUGAGUGCCCCAAGCACCUGGUUAUGUGUCCUGGAUUGACAGACAGGCUCUUUUCCUGUAAAGGGUGUUUUAACCUGAUCUGAAUUGCUAAAGAGUCACUGACCCAGAUAAAGAAAUGCUGCCAACCUGUUUGUGCUGGCUAAGGCACUCCCUGGCAUCUGUGAAACUGUGAUUCAAGUAUCUGUUCCAGGGUGAAGCAGAGAAUGUCUCAGGCACAGAAAGUGAGAGAGGCAAAACAUCAAGGAUCUGACUCCUGUCUCUCAGGAGCUUCCACUUGAAUCAAGGUAACUUAGGAAUGUAUUAGCUGAUGGUCAGCUUUAAGGAUCCGAAAGGACCAGAGGAAAGCAAUACGACAAUUAUUAAUGCAGAUGUAUUCUCAGCAGUGUCCUGCUGACAUCUCUUGCAGAAGGAUUCCUGCCACUUCCCAGUAGUGCUGCUUCCUAAGAUGACUGAAGUAAAAAUUUGUCAAGGAGGUGAAUUGGCCAACGUGAGUCUAACGUAAAAACAGACCAUCAGCCAAUGCAAGUCUGCACAGUCCACAACUCCAGCCAGCAAGUCUACCAACUUUGGGAAUAAAUAUAGUGAUAGUUUCUGGAUUCUUUUUAGUGUUACUGUAACCUUAGCACAACAUCGCAGUGAUUUCAAGAAGCUUCUUAUUAGUAAAAGGUUAGUACAAAGAAUGUUAGUUUAAGUUUGUUGGAAAAUCAGAGCUAGUGCUGAAACUAGGCAAUCUUUGCCAUGUCUUUUCCCUAGCACAUUGUCUUUACUGUUAAUUUCCUGCUGCCUCUGACGAUACAGAACAGCAGAACAGCAAAAAAGCUUGAAGCCCUAGCACUGAUUUAACACAACCUGCUGCUACAGUAUUUCCAAGGUUAUUUACCUGUUCUGGAGCACAUAGAGGUGAUUUCUCUGGUUCUGAGAAGAUGAAAGACUUGGAUGGUGAGAUCUUGAAAGCUGCAGAUCUAUGGCCAGCAGCUGUAAUUUUUGCUUCACAUUCCUCCCACCUGCCCAACAGUAUUCCACAGUAAUCAUCUCAAGUUAGCUGGGAUAGGAUUACCUGUGAACUCUAACAGAAGUUGAAAUAAAAUAAUAAAUAAAAAACCUCUGUUUAAUUUAAACGGUUCUUUGUUGUAGAAACACAUAAGCAUUUAAACCAGAGUGACGUUGGAUCACAUUGUGUCUGAGCCCAAUGAAAUUACUAUGAAUUGCCCUCUCACUGCCUUGAACAGUUUUAACAGAGUUCCUUUUGGCUUCUCUGUCUAGAAAUUGUUUUCUCAAAAACUCCUGUUCUGUCCCUGCAGGUCAGGGGUGUGACUGGAGACUGUCACAAGUGAAAGAUGAUGACUGAUGUGAUGUAGCAUCCUGACCUGUCAGGUAGGUUCAGCAUGUCUCCUGGAAUAAUUCAGCACACCGUGUGCAGCCAUUGGCACAAUCAAGUCCUGAAAAGGAGGGUUCUGCCUUCCCAACAUAGACCUUAGUUCCAACCAUUCUUCACAUCUCACAUUUGCAACUCUGUAUGACCAAGAGCAUGUUUUGGAAGAACAUUCUGUCUUCCAGUUGUUGCCCAUGAACAAGUACCGUGGUUACCAGCCUGCCCCAGCAGCUUCAGUAACUAAAGCAACUAAACUAAACUAAUAUCACGCUACUAUUUUCAAAUGACUAUAUCAUGCAUUUGGCUUGUGCGGCAAAUACUGUUCAGUGAGAAACGUAGCCACUAGAAAGAACAUUUUAAAAAAGAGCAUUUAUAUUUCCUAAGAAUGGAAGAAAGGCAUUUUCCUAUAUCUAUAAACUACGCAGUGAAGUUGAAUAAGGCAUUGUGCACAUUCUGAAGUCAAAAUCUCAUUGAAAAAUUAGCAACUUUAUCAAAUCAUUCAUAUUCCAGGUUUUCUGUGGAAGCCAAAAUAGGCUAUAAGAUGUAUUAUUAGAGAGUAACUGUUAUUCAUCUCUUUUUCUGAACAUUAAAGUCUGAAAUAUCUACACAAAUCAACAAGUCUUCCUAUUUCUUUUCCAGAGAAACUAAAUCCAUUGAUUAUAUUAGAUAUGAAUUGUUUUCUUGGCCACUUACCAGCAGUACGGAGAGCAAUUCAAAUCAUAUUUCCAUGACCAUUUAGUAGCUAAAUCUGUUGGCUGCAGGUUAUCUGCCAAGAAGACACUGUUUAUACAAACAGAAUAUAUAUUAUCACCUAUGGAACAGACUAGGUUACAUUUAUCUCUACAUUAAUAUCAGCUUUCACAGUACUGGAACAAAGCAUCUUCCACAAAUGCUUCAGCAAUUAAUUUGCCCCUACUGAUGACUUAGAAAGCAUAUGCUUGUUGGAUAACAAGCAAUAGCUACCUGUAGUUUUGUCUGCUAUUAUUACAGCAGUAAGAAUUGGUAAGUACAUUUGAAAUGCAGUAUAUAGUACUACUUUCUACAUUAUCCAUUCUAGUCAUAUAGACAGAAUAGAUUUAUUCUAUUCUGUCUGAUCUUCCCAUGGAUAUUUAUUUCCUAUUGAUAUCCUGGAAGUAUCCUACGAAGUAGUUGCAGUUGCAUUUGUUCUGCAAGAGUCAUUUAUUUAUUUAUUGUCCCUUUUUUACCCCACACUAAGAAUGGAACUUGCAAGAUCCUAGCAAAGCGAUACCGUAGCACCAUAGUAGACACGAAUGCAAGAAAUAGGGAACGGAGAUAGUUGUGUGUUGGAAGUUGACUAAAGAAAGAAGUAUAGUUAAACACUGAAAACUAUAAAACUUAUACUGAGAGCUUAGUUACUUCUAACACUGACUCUCUCUGUAUGUGAAUGUCUGCUUUCCACCAAGCCUUGGCACAGUUGCAUGCUUUACAUCAACUCUUCUGUUUCUUCAUCACAAGACACGCACUAUGUCCAUCUCCAGCAGCCUGGCAGUUGUGCUAUAGGCACCCAAGAUCUCUGUAUUUCUUCAGAGCGAUAGAGUUAAGGAUGAGGGACCUCACCCAUUUUCCAGCAGAAGGAAGCUGGCUCUGCUAGAGUGGUACCAUGAAGUCUGAAGAAUUUCUCAGCUACUGCAAGAGUCCGUGAUUCAACUAAAUGAGUUGCGAGACAAGACAUCAAAAGCAGACAUAUCUUUCUACCUAGACAAGACUGAUGUACUGAGGGAACUCUUGCCUCGGUGCAAAUGAAUAUCAGACUCACACUGUGAAGUCUAGAAAUCAGUUCUUUCAGUUUAUAUCAGGAUUAACUUGCCUGAUAUCUGUAAUAUCCUAAAAGUAUCAGUUCUGUUGUAACCCACAGAGCCCUUCAGAAAACUUAAAAUGAAAAGUUAAAAAUGAAGGAACUACAUAAUCAUCUUCUGCCACUGUCACUGUUCUCCCUUUUAUUCUACAAAUAAAUGUUGAAGUGAUGGAUCUCUUUUUUUCAGUGGGGUUGUUGUUAUUCAUGACAGUUACAUUCUAGCCACUCACACCAUGUGUCUCUGCCAUGCAUGGAAAGCAAAGCAAUUACACGUACAAAACACCACCAAUGCUUUGCAAACCACAGAAACAUGCUCAUCAGGAAGGUAUUGCAGAGAAACUACAAACACUAGAAAUUCUUUAAGGUAGAUCAGAUCUGUGGAAAGCCUGGUGGUCAGCCUUUCUCUAGUUACUUAGCUUUGCUUUAUGUACUUUUCAGGCAUGCGAAGUGAUGCUGCCUGCUUUUAAAGUGCUAUUUAUUCUCACUUUAGUCCAAAGUGCUCUGUACAACUUAUAAAGAAAGACUAUGAUCAACUGCAGGCACCAUAUAGAAAUCUGAGUUUCAUUAACUGGAAAUGUUGGGCACAUUGAUGAUAUUUUCUAAAAGGAAUCAGUGUUCCUUGAAAUAAGUCCCACUGAUUUUAAUGCAGAUCAAGAGCAAAUCAUCUCAGAACAGUAAAGAUAAGAUGGUCAGAGUCAUUAUUCAUUUGAGUAUUAAAGAGUAGAAACAAUGUUGAGUGGGUUAUCCUAUGUGCAAAAAGCAGAGAAAAUCAGCUAUAUUCACCUGAGGACUUGCUUUAAGCUGUGGGCAGAAGCUCAAUGGGAACUGAACAAAAAUGUUUUCCAGUCCCCACAAUCCUAUAUCUGUAAUAUACCACUGCUUUCAUUGAAAGCAGAUAGUUUGGGGAAUGUGGAUUUUCUUUCCUUGAAAUGUGUUUUCACUAGUAUACCGAAUACACCUGUUUCCUGGCACAUGUUGAGGUUGAGUUGGUGGACUGCAUUAAGGAAAGAGAAGAGAAAAAGAAACCCUAAAUGUCAUACUAAGGUUUGGAAGCUUAGAAAACAGGAGACAGACCAUUAUAGAGUCACACGCUAUAAGAAUCCUUACCUGUUAC